GAGAGAGAGCGAGUUACAACGCAUAGGUUGUUCUAGUUAGCGUUUAAUCUAAUUAGUCGAGGGCUCGCGCUCAUUGGAGGAUCCGUACUUUCGGUAUUGUUAUGGUCUCUCUCUUGUAGAAUGGAACACCUGCGGUCCGUUCUAGCCGUCCCGAUUCUAAUUCAGACUCAAGUUCGGUUUGCAUUCUACACCGAGUGGCUCUAACUUCGAUUCGAGUCUCUACGUGGAAUAAUUCGAGUAUGCCGAAACGAGGGGUGCCACCCGGUAACGGCGUAUUCAUCGUCCGUGGUUCGGGACAAAUUGUUUCUCCGGAGUCGCUCGUUUCGUUUACAUCGACCGCAAGAAAGAAAAACGGAUAUCGAGUCUACGAGUGCUACGUUCAAGGCUUUCCUUCCAGUAUAAAUCCGAUCG